AUAUCAAUAAGCGGAGGAAAAGAAACCAACAGGGAUUGCCCUAGUAACGGCGAGUGAAGCGGCAACAGCUCAAAUUUGAAAUCUGGCCCCAGGCCCGAGUUGUAAUUUGCAGAGGAUGCUUUUGGCAAAGCGCUUACCGAGUCCCCUGGAACGGGGCGCCACAGAGGGUGAGAGCCCCGUAUGGUAGGACGCCGAGCCUCUGUAAAGCUCCUUCGACGAGUCGAGUAGUUUGGGAAUGCUGCUCUAAAUGGGAGGUAAAUUUCUUCUAAAGCUAAAUACCGGCCAGAGACCGAUAGCGCACAAGUAGAGUGAUCGAAAGAUGAAAAGCACUUUGAAAAGAGGGUUAAAUAGCACGUGAAAUUGUUGAAAGGGAAGCGCUCGUGACCAGACUUGCGCCGGGCGGAUCAUCCAGCGUUCUCGCUGGUGCACUCCGCCCGGCUCAGGCCAGCAUCGGUUUUUGCCGGGGGACAAAAGCUUCGGGAACGUGGCUCCCUUCGGGGAGUGUUAUAGCCCGUUGCUUAAUACCCCGGCGGGGACCGAGGACCGCGCUUCGGCAAGGAUGCUGGCGUAAUGGUCAUCAGCGACCCGUCUUGAAACACGGACCGAGGAGUCAAGCAUUAGUGCGAGUGUUUGGGUGUAAAACCCGCACGCGUAAUGAAAGUGAACGUAGGUGAGAGCUUCGGCGCAUCAUCGACCGAUCCUGAUGUUUUCGGAUGGAUUUGAGUAGGAGCAUUAACGCUUGGACCCGAAAGAUGGUGAACUAUACUUGAAUAGGGUGAAGCC
rnacentral:rRNA from 1 species